rnacentral:rRNA from 1 species
AACGAACGCUGGCGGCAGGCCUAACACAUGCAAGUCGAACGCUCGUAGCAAUACGGGAGUGGCAGACGGGUGCGUAACGCGUGGGAACAUACCCUUUGGUUCGGAAUAACUCAGGGAAACUUGAGCUAAUACCGGAUACGCCCGAGAGGGGAAAGAUUUAUUGCCGAAGGAUUGGCCCGCGUCUGAUUAGCUAGUUGGUAGGGUAACGGCCUACCAAGGCGACGAUCAGUAGCUGGUCUGAGAGGAUGAUCAGCCACACUGGGACUGAGACACGGCCCAGACUCCUACGGGAGGCAGCAGUGGGGAAUAUUGGACAAUGGGCGCAAGCCUGAUCCAGCCAUGCCGCGUGAGUGAUGACGGCCUUAGGGUUGUAAAGCUCUUUUACCCGGGAAGAUAAUGACGGUACCGGGAGAAUAAGCCCCGGCUAACUUCGUG